rnacentral:lncRNA from 1 species
AUGCCAAGGGGAAGAAGGCCAAGGGGAAGAAGGUGGCCCCAGCCCCUGCCGUCGUGAAGAAACAGGAGUCCAAAAAGGUAGUAAACCUUCAUUUGAGAAAAGACCCACGAACGUCGGCAUUGGGCAGGACAUCCAACUUAAAAGAGAUCUCACAUGCUUCAUCAAGUGGCCUGGCUACAUCAGGCUGCAGCGGCAAAGAGCCAUCCUCUAUAAGCAGCUUAAAGUACCUCCUGCCAUUAAUCAGUUCACCCAGGCACUGAACAGGCAAAAUCUACCCAUCUGCUUUAGCUGGCGACAAGUACAGGCCAGAGUAGAAGCAAAGGCUACUGGCCUGUGCUGAGAAGAAAGCUGCUGGCAAAGGGGACGUCCCAGUGACGAGAUCACCUGUUCUCUGAGCAGGAGUCAAUACAGUCACCACCUUGGUGGAGAACAAGAAGGCUCAGCUGGUGGUGAUUGCCCAUGAUGUAGACCCCAAUGAGCUGGUGGUUUUCCUGCCUGCCCCGGUGUCAAAAGAUAGGAGUGUGUGUUCUACUGCAUCAUCAAGAGAAAGGCCAGGCUCGGGGGCCUGGUCCACAGGAAGACAUGAAUCACUGUUGCCUUCACACAGGUUAACUCAGAAGACAAGAGUGCUCUGGCUAAGCUGGUAGGAGCUAUUAGAACCAACUACAAUCACAGAUAUGAUGAGAUCCGUCGCCACAGGGAGGCAACGUCCUGGGUCCUAAGUCUGUGGCUCACAUUGCCAAGCUGGAAAAAGCAAAGGCUAAAGAACUCGCCACCAAACUGGGCUAA